rnacentral:rRNA from 1 species
GAUGAACGCUGGCGACGUGGAUGAGGCAUGCAAGUCGAAUGGGUUUAGACCCAUGGCAGACGAGGUAGGAACACGUAGGUGACGUACCCCAAAGUCAAGGAUAUUCUGGCGAAAGUCAGCGCAAUACUUGAUGGUCUCCCAAUUUCAUUAUUGGGAGUAAAGAUUUAUCGCUUUGGGAACGGCCUGCGGGCUAUCAGCUUGAUGGUAAGGUAACGGCUUACCAUGGCUACGACGGCUAGGGGAGGUGAGAGCCUGACCCCCACCGAUGGAACUGAGACACGGUCCAUACUCCUACGGGAGGCCGCAGUCGAGAAUCUUCCACAAUGGGCGCAAGCCUGAUGGAGCGACGUCGCGUGGUGGAUGAAGUCCUUAGGGACGUAAACACCUUUUAUGAGUGAAGAAGUAUAUUGACAUUAGCUCAUGAAUAAGGGGCUCCCAACUCUG